UAAGCAUAUCAAUAAGCGGAGGAAAAGAAACCAACAGGGAUUGCCCCAGUAACGGCGAGUGAAGCGGCAACAGCUCAAAUUUGAAAUCUGGCCUCGGCCCGAGUUGUAAUUUGCAGAGGAUGCUUCGGGCGCGGCGCCUUCCAAGUCCCCUGGAACGGGGCGCCUUAGAGGGUGAGAGCCCCGUACGGUUGGACGCCAAGCCUGUGUGAAGCUCCUUCGACGAGUCGAGUAGUUUGGGAAUGCUGCUCUAAAUGGGAGGUAGACCCCUUCUAAAGCUAAAUACCGGCUAGAGACCGAUAGCGCACAAGUAGAGUGAUCGAAAGAUGAAAAGAACUUUGAAAAGAGGGUUAAACAGUACGUGAAAUUGUUGAAAGGGAAGCGCUUGUGACCAGACUUGCGCCGUGGCGAUCCUCGGGCGUUCUCGCCCGGGCACUCGCCCCGGCUCAGGCCAGCGUCGGUUCGGGAGGGGGGACAAAGGUGCUGGGAACGUGGCUCUUCGGAGUGUUAUAGCCCAGCGCGCCAUGCCCCCGCCCGGACCGAGGUUCGCGCUCUGCAAGGACGCUGGCGUAAUGGUCACCAGCGGCCCGUCUUGAAACACGGACCAAGGAGUCGAGGUUCUGCGCGAGUGUUUGGGUGUCAAACCCGCACGCGCAAUGAAAGUGAACGCAGGUGGGAGCCUCGGCGCACCACCGACCGAUCCUGAUGUUCUCGGAUGGAUUUGAGUACGAGCGUAGGGCCUCGGACCCGAAAGAUGGUGAACUAUGCUUGGAUAGGGUGAAGCCAGAGGAAACUCUGGUGGAGGCUCGCAGCGGUUCUGACGUGCAAAUCGAUCGUCAAAUCUGAGCAUGGGGGCGAAAGACUAAUC
rnacentral:rRNA from 1 species